rnacentral:rRNA from 1 species
UUUGAUCCUGGCUCAGGAUGAACGCUAGCUACAGGCUUAACACAUGCAAGUCGAGGGGCAUCAGGAAGAAAGCUUGCUUUCUUUGCUGGCGACCGGCGCACGGGUGAGUAACACGUAUCCAACCUGCCCUUUACUCGGGGAUAGCCUUUCGAAAGAAAGAUUAAUACCCGAUGGCAUAAUGAUUCCGCAUGGUUUCAUUAUUAAAGGAUUCCGGUAAAGGAUGGGGAUGCGUUCCAUUAGGUUGUUGGUGAGGUAACGGCCCACCAAGCCUUCGAUGGAUAGGGGUUCUGAGAGGAAGGUCCCCCACAUUGGAACUGAGACACGGUCCAAACUCCUACGGGAGGCAGCAGUGAGGAAUAUUGGUCAAUGGGCGCUAGCCUGAACCAGCCAAGUAGCGUGAAGGAUGAAGGCUCUAUGGGUCGUAAACUUCUUUUAUAUAAGAAUAAAGUGCAGUAUGUAUACUGUUUUGUAUGUAUUAUAUGAAUAAGGAUCGGCUAACUCCGUGCCAGCAGCCGCGGUAAUACGGAGGAUCCGAGCGUUAUCCGGAUUUAUUGGGUUUAAAGGGAGCGUAGGUGGACUGGUAAGUCAGUUGUGAAAGUUUGCGGCUCAACCGUAAAAUUGCAGUUGAUACUGUCAGUCUUGAGUACAGUAGAGGUGGGCGGAAUUCGUGGUGUAGCGGUGAAAUGCUUAGAUAUCACGAAGAACUCCGAUUGCGAAGGCAGCUCACUGGACUGCAACUGACACUGAUGCUCGAAAGUGUGGGUAUCAAACAGGAUUAGAUACCCUGGUAGUCCACACAGUAAACGAUGAAUACUCGCUGUUUGCGAUAUACAGUAAGCGGCCAAGCGAAAGCAUUAAGUAUUCCACCUGGGGAGUACGCCGGCAACGGUGAAACUCAAAGGAAUUGACGGGGGCCCGCACAAGCGGAGGAACAUGUGGUUUAAUUCGAUGAUACGCGAGGAACCUUACCCGGGCUUAAAUUGCAGUGGAAUGAUGUGGAAACAUGUCAGUGAGCAAUCACCGCUGUGAAGGUGCUGCAUGGUUGUCGUCAGCUCGAGCCGUGAGGUGUCGGCUUAAGUGCCAUAACGAGCGCAACCCUUAUCUUUAGUUACUAACAGGUCAUGCUGAGGACUCUGGAGAGACUGCCGUCGUAAGAUGUGAGGAAGGUGGGGAUGACGUCAAAUCAGCACGGCCCUUACGUCCGGGGCUACACACGUGUUACAAUGGGGGUACAGAAGGCAGCUAGCGGGUGACCGUAUGCUAAUCCCAAAAGCCUCUCUCAGUUCGGAUCGAAGUCUGCAACCCGACUUCGUGAAGCUGGAUUCGCUAGUAAUCGCGCAUCAGCCACGGCGCGGUGAAUACGUUCCCGGGCCUUGUACACACCGCCCGUCAAGCCAUGGGAGCCGGGGGUACCUGAAGUACGUAACCGCAAGGAUCGUCCUAGGGUAAAACUGGUGACUGGGGCUAAGUCGUAACAAGGUA